rnacentral:rRNA from 1 species
GGAAUCUUCGGCAAUGGACGAAAGUCUGACCGAGCAACGCCGCGUGAGUGAAGAAGGUUUUCGGAUCGUAAAACUCUGUUGGUAGAGAAGAACGUUGGUGAGAGUGGAAAGCUCAUCAAGUGACGGUAACUACCCAAAAAGGGCGGCUAACUACGUGCCAA